UACGUAGGGUGCGAGCGUUGUCCGGAAUUAUUGGGCGUAAAGGGCUCGUAGGCGGUUUGUCGCGUCGGGAGUGAAAACACCGGGCUUAACUCGGUGCUUGCUUUCGAUACGGGCAGACUAGAGGCAUGCAGGGGAGAACGGAAUUCCUGGUGUAGCGGUGAAAUGCGCAGAUAUCAGGAGGAACACCGGUGGCGAAGGCGGUCUCUGGGCAGCUGU
rnacentral:rRNA from 1 species